UUAAGUUCAGCGGGUAGUCCUACCUGAUUUGAGGUCAAAUAGUCAUACAUUGUCUUAACAAAGACGAUUGGUAGCAGAGUAGACCGAGUCUUAAUUGGAUAUAGAUAGUUAUCAUACCAAAAGAUAAUCGGUAAAAACCUGCUAAUACAUUUAAGAAGAGCUGAUUUCAGUAAGAAACCUGCAACUUCCAUAUCCAAGCC
rnacentral:misc_RNA from 1 species